CCUACGGGUGGCAGCAGUCGAGAAUCAUUCACAAUGGGGGAAACCCUGAUGGUGCGACGCCGCGUGGGGGAAUGAAGGUCUUCGGAUUGUAAACCCCUGUCAUGUGGGAGCAAAUUAAAAAGAUAGUACCACAAGAGGAAGAGACGGCUAACUCUGUGCCAGCAGCCGCGGUAAUACAGAGGUCUCAAGCGUUGUUCGGAAUCACUGGGCGUAAAGCGUGCGUAGGCUGUUUCGUAAGUCGUGUGUGAAAGGCGCGGGCUCAACCCGCGGACGGCACAUGAUACUGCGAGACUAGAGUAAGGGAGGGGGAACCGGAAUGCUCGGUGUAGCAGUGAAAUGCGUAGAUAUCGAGAGGAACACUCGUGGCGAAGGCGGGUUCCUGGACAGUAACUGACGCUGAGGCACGAAGGCCAGGGGAGCGAAAGGGAUUAGAUACCCCAGUAGUC
rnacentral:rRNA from 1 species